AUUGAACGCUGGCGGCAUGCCUUACACAUGCAAGUCGAACGGUAACAGGUCUUCGGAUGCUGACGAGUGGCGAACGGGUGAGUAAUACAUCGGAACGUGCCCGAGAGUGGGGGAUAACGAAGCGAAAGCUUUGCUAAUACCGCAUACGAUCUCAGGAUGAAAGCAGGGGACCGCAAGGCCUUGCGCUCACGGAGCGGCCGAUGGCAGAUUAGGUAGUUGGUGGGAUAAAAGCUUACCAAGCCGACGAUCUGUAGCUGGUCUGAGAGGACGACCAGCCACACUGGGACUGAGACACGGCCCAGACUCCUACGGGAGGCAGCAGUGGGGAACUUUGGGCAAUGGGCGAAAGCCUGGUCCAGCCAUGCCGCGUGCAGGAUGAAGGCCUUCGGGUUGUAAACUGCUUUUGUACGGAACGAAAAGGCUCUGGUUAAUACCUGGAGUCCAUGACGGUACCGUAAGAAUAAGCACCGGCUAACUACGUGCCAGCCGCCGCCGUAAAAC
rnacentral:rRNA from 1 species